rnacentral:tRNA from 1 species
GGGAAGAUGGCUCAGUGGUAGAGCGGCUUGCCUCGCAUGCAUGAAGCCCUGGGUUCGAUUCCUCAGUACCA